rnacentral:rRNA from 1 species
CCUCGGAUCAGGUAGGAAUACCCGCUGAACUUAAGCAUAUCAAAAGCGGGGAGAGGAAA